UAUCUCAUCCCCAUUCGGCUCUCCUUCUCGCCUUUCUUAUCUUUGUCUCUUUCCAUUCGGUCUUAUCGCCUUUGCUUCUUCGUUCGGAAGCUCAAAGAACCGAAGGUACGAACGUGUCUGGAAAAAUUCCCUGGGAGCCAGCACCGACCGAGAAACUCCUCACUUGGCCCGGACUUCCGAAAAUGGACAUUGCGAAGAUGUCGCUUGAAUUUACAAUAUACUAAUGUUUAAAGAAAAGUAGGCCGUUCUACAAAAAAAAGGUCAACGAGAGAUAAAUCCAGAAUUAGCUGUAGAGAAAUGGGCCAAGAAAUCAAUCAGCAAAUUAUAAUACAUUGUUCAAAAUCAAAUUGAUCAUCGAGAAAGAAGACCUUUUUUGUGGUUGGUGUUACUGAGAAGGGAGCCUAAAUUAUGCAACCUAAUUUAGAAAGGCAAACGUUUCUGCCCAACGGUUAUUCUAGAAGAACAGAUUACAGGAUCUCAUACUCGAGUCAAAGGGCAGAGUUGUUUAACGUCCACGUAUUCCCCGUAGUACAUCUGCAGUUUUCACCGUGGAUAAUAGCGUACGUGGUCAUUUCUUUCAGUAAUGAAACGUCAGGGAAAAUAUAUUGGGAGUGAAAAUAAAUUAUUUCUGAUUAAGAUGUAAAAUUAAUAAUAUCGUAGGAAGUAAUUACAAGAACUUGAUCAUCGAAAUAGUCCAGCAUAGAUUCGUGUAUAUGUAUAUACAUAUAGUAUAAAGAGCGUAAUUUACAGAGCAUAUGUAGCAGGCAACAACGAUUAUUAAUAGAAGAUAACAUUGAUGACAAAGAAAA